AUUUGCCGUUGUAUUGAAUGUAGUAAAUUAGGGAUUAGCUUCGCAAUCUGUCAAAGUUGUCCAACGGUACCUCCAACUCGCGCCAAUUUUGGGGGAUGAUGACACCGUCCGCCUUUUCUUCGAUCGGCGGCAUUCUUUAGCCAUUGGACGUUCCUAGCUGCGUGUCGCGUUCAACAAGCCUUUUUCUUCAACCCUGCGCCGAAGGAUUGCUCCGAGAGAGAUGGUGCGUCGAAAGCCGUAAAACAAUCGCAGCAAUCACAGCUAGUUUGUCCAUCCUAGUCCGGGUCCGGUCGGAGAAGUGCUUUAUCGCGUUCGUUCGCGUUUUCCUGCCUGCUAGUGUCGGAAGUCCGAUUCGGAAUUUAGUUUUUAUUUCUAUUGCACUGCAGCUGUGUAUGGGCUAAGUAUUUUUUUGGUAAUUCAAUUUUUUGUGAGAGUUCGUAUCGCGAAGAUGUCAACUAGCAGCAGCAGCAGUCGAG